rnacentral:misc_RNA from 1 species
AAAAUGCGAUAAGUAGCGUGAAUUGCAGACGCUUUGAACGUUAAAAUUUCGAACGCACAUUGCGCCAUAGGAGUCCUACCCUAUGGCACAUCUGGUUGAGGGUCGUGAUCAAGAAAACAGCUAGUCCUGGGCUGUAGUAAUUGGCUAAUUGGUGGAUCAUUAGACCGGCAUACGCACUAUUGCCGGUGGUGUUCUGUCAUAAUGCUUUUGAGGGUACCUACAAGUCCUGUCGUGCACAUUUCACUAGCCUUGGGUGCUAUGUUGUGCGGCAGGCUAGGGGUACUUCCUUGCCACACGGACGGGCAGGCAUUCCAACUGACAGUGGGCCGGCCGCCAGGUAUCA